UGCUAUGUAAAAGUUGUGUAAGUCGCUCUGUAUAAGAGCGUCUGCUAAAUGUCUGUAAUGUAGUGUAGUGUUUUCUGAAGGUAAACUGUUAGAGGUCUACAUUUGUCCCUGCUUUUGCUAACUAUGUAUCUCACCUGCAGUGUGGGGAGCCCUGGUCCUCCGCCCAGGAGUGUUGAGACCUCCAAAGAGUAGGACAUGCAUUUUAGUCCGCACUAGAUAAAAGCAGGAACUAGUCUAUUUAAGGUCCUGUGGCUCAGGCCUGAAGAGCCUCUUGCCAUCCUGUUUCCUCUUAGAAGCUGUCUGGUUUUGUGUCUGAAGUCUCACUCAUUUUGCUGAUGCUGACCAGCCCGUCAAAUGACUUCACUCUAAGCUCUGGCCAUUCCCCGCUUCCCACCCAACACUCCACCAAUCUCUCUUUUAGCACCUGAUUGGUUAGACUCACUGAUGUCCUUGGUCUCGGCCUGGAAGAUCGGAACAACAUGGUGGCCUGUUGAUAAACUUUCUCAUAUUCCACACAAACUGCCUACUAAAAUAUGUUUCUGGAAACAUUUGAGAGACCCAGUGUUUGUUGGAUUCCAAGGCUCCACCCCAACCUUGAAAAACAACCUACCGACGCCACUUGAACAUGUCACGCUCAGAGGAACGCCCACGGAGUAAAGCCAACAAGCAAGUCAUGCUAAACUGACGCUGGUCUUUGCUGUGGUCUGUCGGGGGGACGUCAGCUGCAACAAAUGAUCAGGCUGAAUCCCUCCUUGCCUUUGUGGAUAUCUUCCUGAGAAAGGAUGCAGGCCUGUCCAGACACAUGUCCUGUUGAUAAACACGCACUUCACAAGUUCCGCCCUGGUCCCCGUCCAAAGUUUGCGACAAGCUAUCUCGCGGGCAAGACAUCAUCCCCGAGAAGGACCUCAUAACUCAUAAAAUCUGUCCAACGUAUUGUCAUAUUUCUACAUGUAUCUUCUCAAUAGAGAUGUUGCUUGAAUUAGGGGAAAUUCUGAUUCCAUUCCUGUCAACUUUAGUUUGCUAUUGUGUGGACCAGAACGUUAAUUUAAAAUCCUUAAAAAAGUUAAUUUAAAAUCCUAUGGCUCUGACCCUCUAUUUCUGGAAUUCUCCUUUCCUACCCUGGGAUGUGUUUAUGAACCUGCUCCUGCUCUCCCUGAUUCUGAGCUUCUCCCUAGAAAUGCAUAGGCGCACUGUGUGUUAAAAUGGUUUCCUUUCCACAAACACCGGAUACUGUUACAAUAGUAAUGUACACAUUAGGUUUGGUUAGCGGAUCUCAGUUCAGCAUAUCUAUAUAAGGUUUCUUACCAUAUCCACCUUUCAGUAGUUCUAGAACGGCACAGUCAGUUUCAUUUUUGGAUCUAAUGUAGUACAUCAUAAAACAAUGUGUCCAUCAGAAGAGCAGGCACAGUAUAUUAGAAUCAGUUUAGUGUAAUACAGGCUCAUAGGAAAAAAUAAAUCUGCAGGAGAGAUAUUUAAACUAUUUUUAAAAUAAGUUAAAUAUGUUUUGCUAAUUGGUGUGGUUGUGAUAAACUGUGCUAGACAUUUAUAAUUGAGUCUGCUUUGCAAAAAUAAUUUUUGUAAUGUUAAAUAUGAUGUAUUACUAUAGAAAAUGUGAGUGCAUAUGUUUUGGUUUUGUUACAAGAACUAAAGCAAAACAUUAUUUCUGUUCCACUUAAACGGCUAAUUACAGGAAGAAGGAGUGGGAUUUAUAUAAUAUUGUGAUAGAAUUUAAUUACUUUGUCAAACCUGGUGUUUUUACUGUCAUUCUAGUGAAGUAAUGUUUUGCAGUGUCCUGCUUUUAGAUUAUACUGCAUUUCAAAUGGAAAGCACUCAAACUCAAACAAAGUUUUCUCCCAAAAUAAAAAUCAAAUUUGUGGCCAUACAGUAGUUUCAUUAAUUCAAAUAUGCAGGUUUGGGCCUUUUUUAAAACCUGUUUUUCAAUCCUGAUGGUGAAAUUCAAUAAAAAAUAUCAUAAAUAAAAAUCCCCAACAUAACAAAUGUGAAUUGAACUUUUAACAACUGCAGUUUAGAACGUUUAAAAUAGAGAAUCCAUCUAAUCAAUUUAUUGAACAUUACAUGAAAUGGUUCCACUAAGCUGCCAUCCCAAAUAAAUCUGAAAUUACAGCAUUUAUAUCACUGAAUGGCUUAAAAUGAAUGAUGGUGUGAUGGUCAUGUAUUGCAUCAUAUUAUGCCAGUUACUAAUAUUUUACUUUUAAUUUCAAAUUGAGUUUUGUCAGGAGAACAAGAGGCCAUAGGUGGAAAUUAGUUCACUUUAGUUUUAUACUGAUGCUAGGAAGAAUGUUUUCCACACGCCAUGAUUAUCUGUUUAUCAGGAAUUGUAGGAAGUAGAGGCCUUGAGGAUGCUGAAAAGCAGCCUAGAUACAGUGCUAGAGUCAUUUACUCUGGGAAAGAGUGCAGAGCUUUGAUAAGCUGAAGAGUCUGUGAUGCAUACAUGACAUCAAAUAUUUUUUUGCUGCAUUAUGCAAAAUUUUGGGAAGAAUUGUUGAAAGUGAACAUGGCUGAAUUUCAAUAA